rnacentral:lncRNA from 1 species
CAACUGUCCAUCGGGGGUAUCUCCUUGCGUUUUUAGGGCAAAAGUCAAAACCUGCAAACUCCUGGAAUGCAUAAAUCAUUAACUAUUUCAGUCUCUGACACCCUCCCCCUUCUCACCAUCCCACGCCUUCCAGAGCCGGAAUCCGGCUGGAAUCUCAUCCUAUUGGUGGUCACGGUGUCCGUCAUUGCUGCCACCAUCAUCAUCAUCAUCAUCGGACUCAUCCACAUGAGAUUUGGCAUCCGGAAGCUCCAAUCCGGGAAGAGGAAGAGAUAUGUUGUGGCCAAUGGAACAGACAUGGGAACUGACUGCUCUCUCACAGGAAUGGAGCAGGAUCCAUGUGGGAUCCCUCAGGAAAAGAACGUGUUGCAGUGGCUCCGCGUGUCGUGACACGGGCUCCGACAGAGCCGCGUGCGGGAAGUGCCGGGAGUGGACUUUUAUUGAAGAAAAAGAGAAAUUUAAUUUAAUGGAAAUAUAUAUACAUAUGUAAAGAAACCUUUGUAAAUAUUUUCCCCUUCCCCCAACACUAAAUAGUUGUGUUUUGUCUGAAAACUCUCCACAUGAGGUGAGAAAGAUAUCAAGUCCAUGCCAUCACUAAACCCUCUCACAGGAGCAAAUUGUGGGAGGGGGGCUUGAACUUAGAAAUUGGAUUCUUGGGAGUUUCAAACCACCACAGGGGGGGGACACAGAGGCUGGGGAGUCUGGCAGGACACUUCCUGGAUAGAGCCUAAAAUCUGGUCAGAGAAUGCAAACAACCCAAGCUGGCUGUGCUGAGCUCCCACUGGUGCCAAGGGGCUGCUUUUAGUGUUGGGUUGUGCUAAAACCAGCCUGGUUUGCUCAUUGCAGGUUUACCCCAUUCCAG